rnacentral:rRNA from 1 species
CCUACCAUGCAAGUCGAGCGAAGCACUUUGCUUAGAUUCUUCGGAUGAAGAGGAUUGUGACUGAGCGGCGGACGGGUGAGUAACGCGUGGGUAACCUGCCUCAUACAGGGGGAUAACAGUUAGAAAUGACUGCUAAUACCGCAUAAGACCACAGCACCGCAUGGUGCGGGGGUAAAAACUCCGGUGGUAUGAGAUGGACCCGCGUCUGAUUAGCUGGUUGGUAAGGUAACGGCUUACCAAGGCGACGAUCAGUAGCCGACCUGAGAGGGUGACCGGCCACAUUGGGACUGAGACACGGCCCAAACUCCUACGGGAGGCAGCAGUGGGGAAUAUUGCACAAUGGGGGAAACCCUGAUGCAGCGACGCCGCGUGAGCGAAGAAGUAUUUCGGUAUGUAAAGCUCUAUCAGCAGGGAAGAAAAUGACGGUACCUGACUAAGAAGCACCGGCUAAAUACGUGCCAGCAGCCGCGGUAAUACGUAUGGUGCAAGCGUUAUCCGGAUUUACUGGGUGUAAAGGGAGCGUAGACGGAUGGGCAAGUCUGAUGUGAAAACCCGGGGCUCAACCCCGGGACUGCAUUGGAAACUGUUCAUCUAGAGUGCUGGAGAGGUAAGUGGAAUUCCUAGUGUAGCGGUGAAAUGCGUAGAUAUUAGGAGGAACACCAGUGGCGAAGGCGGCUUACUGGACAGUAACUGACGUUGAGGCUCGAAAGCGUGGGGAGCAAACAGGAUUAGAUACCCUGGUAGUCCACGCCGUAAACGAUGACUACUAGGUGUCGGGUGGCAAAGCCAUUCGGUGCCGCAGCAAACGCAAUAAGUAGUCCACCUGGGGAGUACGUUCGCAAGAAUGAAACUCAAAGGAAUUGACGGGGGACCCGCACAAGCGGUGGAACCAUGUUG